GACCACCACUGAAUGUGCAGUUCCUUGAUUGACCUGUCCUGAUGCAGUGCCUGACUGUAGUUCUGCAGCUCCACUGAAGAAGAGGCACUGAGGACUAGAGGCAGCCAGGGGAUUGCAACUCAAAGAGCCUGAAUGCUGACUUCAUAGACUUUCAAAACAAAGUAAUAGGUGAGGAGCAAAGGAAGUAGUUCUGCUGACGGUUCAGGACCUGCUGUGUGGGUAGGGUGGUUCACUAGUCAUCCUGAAAGGUUUUUGAAGUGAUCGUAUCACCAUGAGAAAAAAAUCCUCACUCUUGAGCUUGAUUAAUGUGAUGAGAAGUGCAUCGCAGGGUAACGAAUGCUGUGUUAUUAGCCACCAAAUGCUCCACACGAUGCUGCAGUCUUUCAGAAGCAAAGGGCACAUUGAAAUAAAAUCACACUAAAAGUG
ensembl:lncRNA LINC01796 long intergenic non-protein coding RNA 1796